CGGAGCAGAUUCCGGGCCGGACCUGUAGCCCAUGGAGAGGAGACCACGCAGGAGCAGGUGUGGUGGAAAAGACUCUAAUUGUCCAAAGCAGAAGAGCCCCUCGCUACUCUGUCCCAAAUGAGGGUGAUGAGAAUCCAGGUAAGAGUGCCCAGUCUUCAAUGAGUUCAGAGGUGUUGAAGGACCCCCAGCAGGGCACUGUCUGAACAGGCAGCUGGAUUUCCAAAACACCUGUCUGCAUAUGUGCCUGACUCCCUGGAUGGCAGGACCCUUCACCCAAUGAAGUCAUCACACCCAAGCCUGCCUCUAUAGCAGUUCAGACACGAUUUCAGAAGAUUAAGCCCAACAAACAAAUCAGUCCUUGCUGUGAUGUGCCUUUGCUUCUAGACUGUCACAGAUACAUCAGUGAUGGUCCACUCACUAGAGGUUAAAGCAACAGCGUAGCUAUGCCUACACCACUGCCCAGCCAUGCUAGAGUCAGUUCUGAAUUACAGGUAUGUUACAGAGCAAGGUCACUGUACAGCUGCAUGUCAUGGCAUGGCUAGGGUGUAGAGAAGUUUCUGGGGAGAUGGCCAGCCUGAUUUUUUGAAAAUGUGAAAUUUCUGUCCAGAGAUCCAGCAGUCCCCUUCACAACCAGUGAUCCACAAGUGUGGCUGGAACCACAGAAGUCUGCUGUCUUGAUGAACAUGCUGGAAAGCUGUGGACACUCUGCAAUGUUACCGAAAGGGAUGUCCAGACUUUCUCAAAUGCGGAGUAGUGUCAUUUUCUUAUGGCACUUAGACUGCCUGGAUAGUUUCCAAUUAGCUACACAGAUGAUACAUUUUAGUAACAUACAAUAUUGGGGUGCUUUUAUCCUGCAAAUGGGAGAAAUAUUUAGAUCUUUAUUGAAGUCAGCAUGACUGUAUCAUUCCAAUGUGUAACCGCAGGGGGCAAGAAUUUCUGUAGCAAGUGGACACAAAUUUGUAUGUACUGAAUACUUCUCUGCUUCUAAUUUUCAAAACAUCAGUCUAUAAAUAUCCUUCCAUGGUAUAUAUUUGUGAAGCUUUUGACCAUUAUGAAAAUGUGAUGAAACAUAUAUAUGCAAUCUUUAAAAGGAUUAAAAUGGUGAACUUUACAAAAAAAAAAAAAAAAACUUUCAGAUUUCUGUACUUCAGUCAAAUAAAGUAGCCUCAGAGCGCUGACACCAUAUGUACAUAUUACACAAUGUUUAAAGCUUCCCUGAGCAUCAAAAGGGAAUACCUAAUGUGCGGUUUCAAUUAAGUUUCCAUAUAUCCAGACAGUUACUACAUUUCUGUUGUAACCACACUAGAUGAAAAAAGUCACUAACAUUUUUCCUAGUGACUAAAUCAUUUUGCAAAUUCAGGCUGUUCUGUGAAUUUGUAGAGGUUCAAAUUGGUAACACUUAAAAUAAUAGCACGUUGAUUUGUGCUGCUUUGCACUGGAAUUCCUCUGGAAGGAUGUCUGACCUCUUCAUUAAUAUGAAAUGAGCUCCUUGUGAUACCUUAAUGAAUAUGCAGCGUCCCCUUAGUGACAUGAGUAACAUUUGAAACCUUUAUGCAUUUUCAAUGGGCAUUCACCUCAGCUAAUCUUCAGAGCAGGUUCAUUCAUAGUCAUAUUUCCUGUUAUCUGCUUACAAAGUUAAGAUGUUCUUACUGUUUGAAAUUUGUCACUUACUCCAGAAGAAGGAAAAGAAAAAGCAAGUGAUGGCUUUAAUGGGCAAUGUGCCAAGAUAAAUGGUCCCUGCUGUGCAUGUUAGAUUUGAUGCAAGUGUUCUUUGUGUAGAUACUACUUCCUGUACAGAAUAUUGCAGCCUUAUGGCAACCUUUGUCCUUUGUCUUGAUGAUUGUAUGAAAUAUUAAUCUCCGAAACAGUAAUGCUAAAAUGAAACAUUCUGCAGUGUAUCUGGUGGCUACAGCUGCAGACAGGGAUUCAGAUGUCGGAUCCUAUUCCUGUCUGCACCAUAGUCUCAAUGGGUACUUUUUCUGUGUCUCAGCUCCCUCAUUUCUCAAAGAGGAAACAUUAUUGUUAACUAAAUCCUAGGGGGUUUUCUGCACCUUACCUAGAUAUGUUGGUAAAACACACCGAGAUCCCAUAUGGGACUAGAUGGUAAAGCUUUCUGAUUAUACUAACUAGAAUUAAUACCAGACAGUGUGUCAUGCUAUUUUGUUGGAUGACAGUAAUACUUAGCCUCCAACAACUUGACCUAAGAGGUACUUUCUGGUCAAAUUGGUAAUUCUUGCCAAGUAUGCACAGUUAUUGCUCAGGAUACAUCAGUGGAUUUCCGUUUGACAGUACAUCCUUAAGGAUGUAUUUGUGAGGCUUUGGGGGCUGCCAGUCUCACAGAUCAUAUUCGUCUUCUGGGCAGCAACAAAGAUCAAACAAUGGGUACACCUCUUCUUUAGGUCCAUUGAUAUUUAAAAUUCAGGAUUUCAUAGAGAUGGUAAAAAAUAUCCAACAGGUAUGUUUUGUUCUUCACAUCAGACACAGAGGGGAUGAAAAGCCUUUGUAUGCUGUUAUCCUCCCUGUUUCUACAUGCCUAGGAAGAAACACACCAGAACAGGCAUGUUCUGUACCUAAAUAUCUUACAUGGAGGAGUUGGUUCUUUUCUGUAACCUCUUUUCCACCCUAAAUAAUGUGGUCAAUACAAUAGCUGCUGGACAGAAUAACAAAGUCAUUUGAUUUUUUAUUUAUUUUUUUUAACCUAGCUGGUGGUCUCUGCUUCCUCAGAGGCCUACCAACAGCUACAGUUACUUCUUUUUUUCUUUUAUUUUUUUAACUUAAUUUAUUGCUCAGGUGAUUGGUGUGAUUUAUUACUCUCAACAAAGCCUGCAAAAUCUCACUUUAGAAAACAGAAAAAAAAAAUGGGAGAAGGGGAAAACAGGGACAUGAUAUGUGUUGGGUUUUUUUGUUUGUCUGUUUUGUUGGUUUUUUUUUCUUAUCAGUCCAAAGCUUACAACAUCCUUUCUUGCUUAUAUGGCUGUAUUUCCACAUUGUUUAUAGCCAAUGGACACAGGGAUGAAAAGUAUAAGUAAAGGGAGAGGAAAGAAUUGCAUAAUUAACUUUUUAAAUUAAUUCAUGACCCAGUUAAAAGGACAAGGAGGGGGUUAUUAAUUAAUUAAGGUGGGAAACCCUGUGGGCAUGUGAGAUUUAGAGAGUUUUAACUUACCAGCCAGGUUAAAAGGCUUUCUAAGAGUGUACUCAGCACUCACUGAAUCUGGAAUGCAGUUAAUGCGAAAAGAAAAGGUGAAAAUAUAUUGUAAAAGGUUUUCAGGGGGAAUAAAAACUCUAAGAAGACAGAAAAUUAAUUAGGAAGAAUCCUGACAAAUGUUUCAUCAGAAUUUGAGGAACAGCCUAGCUUGAUUCUUAGCUUUUUCAAGCCUACUUAACUCUACUGAACACAAGGGUUGCUUGAUGCCAUAAAGGCAGGGAUUUUGUCCUGAAAUACAAUUUUUAAAUCCUCUUAGGUCCUAAGAAUUUCAGUAAAACUGAUGGAUUAAUAGCUAUAGAAAUAGUAGCAACAAUAACUGAUAUUUGAGUGAACAUUUUUGACACUCUGGAGACAGAGUAGACUUUUUUUUUCCUCUUUUCCAGAUAUAGCACCUCUCAAUAAAAACACAUUUUAAACUGGCUAUCAAAAGUUCUCUCUUUUCUCAGGUAUCUGUGACUGCAAAUGACCAUUUAAAAUAUACAUUUCUGUAUUUCCUUAAAGGCUUAUAUCACCUGUGUUGCUUCCAGCACUUGUCCUUGUACCUCAAGGUAAAAUUUAGAAUUCAGAUGAGUUUGAGAAGUUCUUACAUCCUGUUUGUUUGUUUGUUUGUUUGUUUUCUUCCUAUUAUCUUUCUUUAUACUUCUUUGUAUGGAUAUUUAUACGUCUAGGCUUUGCAGUCAUUAAAGUUAGGGAUAAUACUUCCAUGACCUUCUGGUACAACCAGCAAUGCUAAUCCAAGAAUUAUUUUAUGAAUUCAUGAAAAAGAGUGUUAUUUCUCACUGACAGUAUUUGAAGUGGAUCACAUGGAUUACUAUUGGUUUAUUUAGUCAGUCUUCCAUUUCAAUCAUCUAAUGAUAGAUAUCAAGACACUUUUAGCUAACUGUAAAUACUACCUUCUUUUGUUAGCUAAUAUUGGCUACGU